GUCCACGCGGUAACGAUGAAUGCUAGGUGUAGGAGGUAUCGACCCUUCUGUGCCGCAGUAACACAAUAAGCAUUCCGCCUGGGAGUACGGCCGCAAGGUUGAACUCAAGGAAUUGACGGGGCCCGCACAAGCAGCGGAGCAUGUGGUUUAAUUCGAAGCAACGCGAAGAACCUUACCAGGUCUUGACAUCCGUGUAAAGCCGCAGAGAUGCGGUGUGAGCUUGCUCAAUACGAGACAGGUGGUGCAUGGUUGUCGU
rnacentral:rRNA from 1 species